CAGAGACGUCCUUCACCGUAUGGCUGGGUUAGAUCACUGCGCCCCCAAGGAUGGGACCCCCUGGGGGGAUAUAGGGGGAGGAUGACUUUAUACACAAAUAACAUGGAGUGCGAUGGAAGAGGCCUAAUGGAGAUGGAGGUACAAAUAUAAGGCAUCCUGCAUCAGUACCUGAGUCCUGAGCUGAAGUGGACCAGGACCAGCAGCAUAAAAAUGGAGGAUAAGAUGAAAGGCAGCGAGGAGGAGAGGAAGCGAAAGAAAGAAGGCAAACACUCUGAGCAAAUGUCAGAGGUCAACCCUCCAUGUCAAGUGUGACGGAUGCUCUUCUGUCACGAGACGUGCGACCCCGUGACCUGUCCUGUAGCAAGGCCGGGUCACGCACGGAAAAGUCAUGGAGAAAAAAAGUUCCUUGUUGUCAUUAGAGAACAGUCGGUUCUGGUGGUCCAAUGAUGGCACAUAUAGGAGCCAUUCAUCACGUCUCUCAUGCAUAUUGAGGACCAAUCAGGCGCACGCUUCAUAUUCAUGCAGAUGGCACAUUUAAAUUUCAUUCAAAAGAAUAAAAAAAACAGAAUUAAAAUUCCACAAGAAGUCUUCCCCCUCAUGUGACACCUCAGCCACACCCCACAGGAUGCAUUAGGAACCAUCAUGACCUGCUGCCAAUCUCUCACCUCUCUCUCUCUCUCUCUCUCUGUCUCUCUGUGUGUGUGUGUGUGUGUGUGUGUGUGUGUGUGUGUGUGUGUGUGUGUGUGUGUGUGUGUGUGUGUGUGUGUGUGUGUGUGUGUGUGUGUGUGUGUGCGUGUUCUUGUAUUUCUACCCUUCCUGAGACACCAACAAGGAAAAGUACCUUCCAUAUGAGGAGGUGUGAACAAGUUAGGACAUAAAUCAUGGUCCCAAUACGGAAAACCAUUGCAUCUAAUAGAGAAUGUCUCAUUUGCACCCCCUGGUGGUGAAAUCUAUCAAAAUUAGGGUGGUCCCAAGAAGGGGGGGAUUUUUCAAAAUGACUGUGUGUCGGUUUUAAAAGUGUUCCCCCUCUUGUCAACAUAUGAAAUAACAAGUGUGUGUAAAAAUAUGAAGUGCUCCUCCUCUGGCCAACAUAUGGAAUAACAAGUGUGUGUAAGGAAUUGAAAUGCGCCCCCUUUGGCCAAAAUUAAUAAAAAAUAAAAUAAAUAUGUAUAUAGAGACAUACUGUAAUUACUUCAAGUAAAUAAUGAAGAUUAUAAACCAAUUACAAACAAAAUAAAAACCAAAAAAAUAAACUAAAAGCAGUCUUUUUCUCACAAUGUGUCGACUUCUUUCUUAUGAAAUUGGGAACAAUUUCUCAUAUUCUUUCUGUUUCCGUAAUGUUGCAAUAUUUUCUCGUAAAAUUAUUACUUUUUUAUGUAAAAUUAUUAUAUAAUAAUUAUUAUUAUUGUGACGUUUGUCAUAUAAAAGUAUUACAUUUAUCACAAUAUAGCCAAUUUUGUUGUAAAAUAGUGAAAUGUUUUGAGUAAAAGUAAAAUUCCGAUUAUUAUUAUAAUAUUGCCAACAUUUUUAAGUUUUCUUAUAAAAGUGUGACUUUUGUCGAGUAAAAUUACGACUCUUUUCAUAAAAUUGCCAAAAUGUUAAGCUUUUCUUGUAAAAUUGCGACUGUUAUUGAGUAAAAUUCAAACCUUUCUCAUAACAUUGCACAAAUGUUCAGUUUUUCUCGUAAAAUGUUGACUUGCGUUGAGCAAAAUUACGACUUUUAUUAUAACACUGCCAAAAUUCUACAUGUUUCUUGUAAAAUUGUGAACUUUUUCUAGUCAAAUUCCAACAAAUUUUUCACAACAAGCUUUUUUUAUAUUUGCAUAGUAUGUAUAUAUUAUUAAUGUUGUACAUACAGAUCUUUAUAUUUCUAGAAGGGUGGUCCUAAAGAGGUAGGCAUUAUUCGGAGGUCUCAAGAAGGUAACAAAUACAAGAAUGUGUGUGUGUGUGUGUGUGUGUGUGUGUGUGUGUGUGUGUGUGUGUGUGUGUGUGUGUGUGUAUGUGUGUGUGUGUGUGUGUGUGUGUGUGUGUGUGUGUGUGUGUGUGUGAUUCAAUUGAGUUUACAGUUAGAAUUUCCAUCUGGAGGUGACAGCAAAAUCAAUGUGGAUGAGCGAUGCCGUAGCCCAAGUACAAUCUCAGGACCUUUGACCUUCAUACAUGACACAUAACAUAACACACCGUUGUAUCCCCCACUGCCCCCCACCCCCUCUUUGAUAUACACACAUUAUACAGUACAUAUGCAAUAAAUGGAAUGCAUGGUGACAAAAAAUGUGAAAUUAUAGUCAGUUUCUGGUCCCCUGAAAUGAGACCUUUUACAGAAAAAAAAUGUGUGUCUAGAGCCUGUUUAUGAGCACCAACAUGUUUGCACCCUGGUUGAGAGAAGCUGUAAAAAAACAAAAAAAUGUAAAUAAAAUAA